GACUUGGCCUGUCUAACCAUGUUCAGGGUAAAGUGAGGAUAUCUGAGCUUGGAGAGGCCAUCAUGAAAUGACCAGUGACCAGCACAGAUCCUGGCAGCAGCUGUUCCAAAAAUUAGGAGUAUGUCGCCGCCGAAUCACCUCGCUGCAGACAGGCAGGUCUGUGUACAACCUGCCGAGGUCCCAAGGCACACAGAAGAUGCCGAAUCACCACACUGCAGACAGGCAGCCACCUGGUUUCACACUACAAAGACGCAGAGGACACCAGACCACCAGACCAAGAUGAAGUUUUUCAGUUCAUCUGGACAUGCUAUAUAUGUUUUCAACCUACGGAACAAAGAGAAAACAAUAUAAAUGUGAACAACUAAAGGAUUUAAAAUGGGGUUAUGUGAAGAGCAAAACUCAGGAGCAGAGAUGAGAAACAUUGUGACAACUCUCUCAACCUAAAACCCAACUCUACCCUCCAAUAGUUAUUAUUGUUACUGGAGAAAUAUAAAGGUUAACUUCAAAAUACAAUGUACACAAAUUACAUAAA
rnacentral:lncRNA from 1 species